rnacentral:tRNA from 1 species
GGGGAUAUAGCUCAGUGGUAGAGCACAUGCCUGGCAUGUGUGAGGCCCUGAGUUUGAUCCCUGGCACUUUAUUUCCC